GAUGAACGCUGGCGGCGUGCUUAACACAUGCAAGUCGAACGGAAAGGCUCCUGCUUGCAGGGGUACUCGAGUGGCGAACGGGUGAGUAACACGUGGGUGAUCUGCCCUGCACUUCGGGAUAAGCCUGGGAAACUGGGUCUAAUACCGGAUAGGACCAUCGUUUAGUGUCGGUGGUGGAAAGUUUUUUCGGUGUGGGAUGAGCUCGCGGCCUAUCAGCUUGUUGGUGGGGUAAUGGCCUACCAAGGCGUCGACGGGUAGCCGGCCUGAGAGGGUGUACGGCCACAUUGGGACUGAGGUACGGCCCAGACUCCUACGGGAGGCAGCAGUGGGGAAUAUUGCACAAUGGGCGCAAGCCUGAUGCAGCGACGCCGCGUGGGGGAUGACGGCCUUCGGGUUGUAAACUCCUUUCGCCAGGGACGAAGCGAAAGUGACGGUACCUGGAUAAGAAGCACCGGCUAACUACGUG
rnacentral:rRNA from 1 species